rnacentral:sRNA from 1 species
GUGAGAGAGAGAGGAUGGAGUACUAUCGGGCUCGGACAAUGCUGCUUCUGAUUUUCAU